GGCGGUUUGAGGCGGGGAGGGGGGGUCCAUAAAGGAUUUUCGAAAGUUAUUAAACGCUCCUGUAAGGAUUCGAGUUGCCUCACGUCGGAAGUGCCCAGCGUCUCUGAGGGAACAGGGGACUUGCUGGCCUGAUGGGCAGCUGGCCUGAUCCAGCCGGGCCCGCGUUCUUAUGGAUUGCGAUAAAGGGCCUUUAUCCCAGAGAUAAAUUGGGGAGGGGGGUUAAAAAGAAAGAGAGAGAAAGGUUUCUUCUCUUCUCUCCCCCGCCCCCCCCCCCCGUCCCCGCUUAGGUAGGAGGGAAAUUGAAGGAGAAGGGGUGAGAAACGGGGCGGGAAUAAUAUUAGCAUAAAUUAUUACGACCGGUGAUCUCAUGGAGAGAAAAUGAUUAAUCUGUUCCUGGGGCGCGCGGGGGAGGGGGCUGGCAGAAAGACACGGAUCGAGGCAGGCACGCACGUGCGCACCGCGGGUCAGUUCUGCAAAGGGAAGAGCAGACCUGACAGCUCGGCCCUUCUAAGGAGAGCCCGAUUUUUGCUCCUCGUGCUGGCUGUGUGGCAUGUGGGAGCGGAAACCUCUGGCUCGUGUGGGCACCAACCAACUGUGGAAGCAGCUGCAGAGUAGAAAGAAAACCUUGGUGGGAACCAGGCUGAAGAGCGCGCACGCAGGGCGCGCGGAAGGGUAGGUAGGUGUGGAGCCAUUUUUGGAAGCGCGUUGUUGCAUUGCUCCAGAUCCCUACAUGUUGUGGUCGCCCCUGCUGCUCCUUACUCUUCGGUGCAGUUUCUCGCUCCUCUCUGUUGCCUCGCUGCUGUUUCAGAGUGAACAGGUGUGGGGUUCUUUUCUUGCUUCUGUGGAGGGAAAUGCUAUGCUUUCCUCUUUUGAUACUACACUCCAUAGGGUUGUGGUGGUUUCUGUGAUCAGCAGUGGUUCCUAUGGUCUUAACAGCAGAUACUGUUAUCUCAUAGAGUAAUAUAUGGUGGCUGAAUAGAGUAAUAUAUUUUCAGGUGGCUGAAAUCGAAUCAAAACUUAAAACCUAGAGUCUAAUUGGAGGGGGGUAUUCCUGAAACGUUCCCUAAAUGACUCAAACCUACUCUGAAAGCCUUGUCCUGAAACAGGAUUCAGUGGACUAAAACCACCUGUACAUUCCAAGAACUUGUUCGUACUACGAUGACACAUCAGAUGACAUCCAUGAAAUUGCCUCAUGUUUCUUUGAUGUGGCCAGAUACUUUCAAGUUACCUUUAUUAUGAGGACUAGAAACAUUUCUGUAGUGAGAACUCAGAUUCUUGGACAAAAGCUGGAAAAGAGCUGGAAACUAAAGUAAGUUUUCCAUUGUCAAUUAAUAUGCUUCCGGAACAAAUUUGUAUAGUCUUUGGCUUCAAGUGUCCAAAAUUUUCCAGAAGCAAAGGGUAGUGUUUACUGUGUUUUCUAUAUGAGAUGGAAAACAAAUGUCCAUGUUGCUUGGUUGAUAGUCAUAAUAUUGAAAACUUUACAGAGCUUGGGUAAUUGGAAUACAUAAACCGCCUCAUGAACUCCAAAUAAUGUUGUGUGAUACACAAUGGUAUCUCCUGGAUUUUAGCAGCUAUGAUGAAAUACUAGUCCCUGGAUCCAGGAAGAAGCAUGCUUUAAUGAAUAUAAGACUUAUAACAUGGUUAUUUCCAGAAGGCCAUAUACUUCUCAGGACCAGGUUACUUGAGAGACCACUGUAUUCCUUAUACACCCAGUAGAUCGCAAUGGUCUGUAGGAGAGUUUCUCCUCCCAGUUUCCAAGAUUUCAGAAGCGUACUCUGCAGUAACUCAAGAGCAAGGCUUUUAGUGUGGCUGCUCCUAUUCUGCAGAAUAGCAUUCCUGUCAAGAUAGGUAAGACAAGCACUAUUUGCCCUUUCUGGGGAAAAUUGAAAAAGACAUUUUUGUUCUGACAGGCUUUCCCAGCUGGAUAAAUGGGUAUUUAUCCUGACUGUCCACUUGUUAAGAGAUUUAGUCUUAUUUUAUUUGUACUUGUUUUUGUGUUUUUUAACUGUUUUUAAUUAUGUAUAAAUUGAAACAGUGGUUUACAAGGUGAUUAUACUGAUAAUACUAAUAAUCCUCUGUACACUACUUUGCUUGGUGUUUGUUUUUAUUUCUGCUGACUGCUUAUAUGCUGCUCUGCUGUAUCAUGAUGUAGGAAUGUUUUUGUUUUAAUAGUCUUACUGUAAUUAUUUAAUCUUUCUGUAAGUUGCCCAGGUAAGCUGUUAAAGGAUGGGGUGUAAAUCAAAUAAAUACAAUGCAAUACAAUGUGUUUGUUUAUUUUAUUUUCUUCCUCCAGGGAGCUGAUGGUUGUAUACACAACCCCACAUUUUCCCCCCUUAAAAAAACCCUUAUGUGAUCGGUUUGGCUGAAUGGUACUGAUUUUCCCAAGGACAUAGCCCAUGCAACCCUAUACCUAACCUACUACACCAGAUCUGGAGAUGUGGAAAGGGCACCAAAUUGUAAACAUGCUCAGCCUGGGAGGGGAGCAGUUUUUAAAGUCUUUCCCUUGCAGUAAAAGUCAACAGGAGGGAAAUCCCUUACAGUGGGUCUGGGGGCUGGAGUAAUGUUGCACCAUCGCUGAAGGUUGGCCAUAGCUUGAAGGGUAUCAGAUUUGUUAUGUGUAUGCUCUUCCCCUGUGCAGCCCACACCUCCACUCCAUAUCAUCUGCUGGUGUAUGGGAGGAUUUUACCAGCUAUCCGUCAUACUGGCGGCAUAUCUCAAGUUCUGCCACUGUAACAGCUUCCUCUGAUUCCUGUGGCCCAUUCAGCAGAUCUCAAUAACAUUGUUUAUGGUGAGUUCCAUGGCAGAGGUGAUUGCUGAACUCUCUGGUCAAAAUCCUAUACACUCUCCACCAUAACAUGGAGUGGUCUUGCACUGGUUAUUUGUUUCAGCACAUUGGCAGGGCCAUUAGCAUUGUUCUCUGUCCUCAAGGUUAACCCUACUGCAAGGGGUACACCUGUUCAGAGCUAUUACAACAUAAAAAAAAGAGAGAAACCUUCAAAGUAAAUGGGGGGGGGAUUUCAGAAUAUUGCUGGGGCGGGGUAUCUCAUUCUCUUCCCAUCACUACCUGAACCCUCCAUGCUGAAAGAUAUAUGUAGUAGAAAAGUGCUCAAAACUUCUAAAGUUGCUAAAAGAAUAAGUUAAUUAAAAAAAAAACAAAAUGAUGCAAGCAGAGGCUGUUGAAUUGUUUACUACCAGUUGUGUCAGUAACACUUUACACAGAACUCCAAAGUGUAAUAGGUCUUCCAGUUGUGAAUGUGGACAUGGAAUUUACACUUUCUUAAUGACAAAGUGCUGUGGCUUGAUAAAUGGGGCAGUGUGACAAUUCCUACAAAAGACCCUAUCUUGAGAUCUGGGUUCCCAGCAACAGGUGAGUAACCAAUAUGCACUUAUUUUAGAAUGUAUUUAUCUUUAUUGUUAAUCGCUUCAGGAUGUUUCACAGGAAGUGAUGCAUAAAUUAAAUAGUAGGAGAAGCUGUAAAGCGCUUAAUAAAAAGAACCCCUAUGUAGCAUGCAUAAAAGCAACGCAAAACAACUAUCAGUAAUAUACACAUUAAAUCAGAAAGUUUUAAAAACCAAGUGCAUAGUUAAUUAGGUUAUGUCCUGGUAGACUUACUAGACCAAUUAAUUUUUUAACAGGCAUCUGAAGCACUACAACAAGGGUGCCUGCCUCAUGUUAAUAGGCAGGGAGUUCCAAAGCACACUGGAAGUUCAACUCACAGCUGUGGAGUGAAUAUCAUAUGGCAUUUGUAAAAAGCUCUAGUUAACAAAGCUGGAUCCAGGAGCACCCACACACUGAGUGUUAAGGUCAGAAGAAGGAACCCUCUUGGUAGUUCCACCACCCUCAGAGGUUUGGGGAAUGGUAACGCAGGAGAGGUUCAUUCUCUGUGGCAGAUCCAACAUUGUCAAAUUCCCUUCCCACAGAAGUAGUGUCCUGCACUUUCAUUCUAUGGCUUAGGCUGUAGCCCACCCUGGAACUUUCUGAUAAAGAGUGGGUAACAAACAAACAAACGCCUUCAGAAAGGAGCACAGUCCCAUCCAAGACUAGCAAUUGGCCUGUUUGUUUGACACAAGAGCCAGUCACCCACUCCACUGGGAUUUAAGCUCAGUUUAGUUGUCCUCAUCUAGAAAUGGUUAAAAAAAAAUCUAGAACAACCAUGGUGUCCAGGUACUGGUGCAUAGCCUACAGAGUCAGUGUAGGAGAAUGCCAUGGUCAUUGCUAUCAAAAGCUGAAGUGACACUGAAGGAGCAAGACUGCACUGUCUUUUUUCUGCUCUCGAUAGAGGUCAUCCAUAGGGUAACCAAGGCCAAUUUGGUCCCAUAGCAAGGCCUGAACCCAGAUGGGUUCUAGAAGGAAUGUGUCUAGAAUGAUAACAAGUAUCAGCAAAGCAAGUGGAAUUUGCAAUUGACUGGUAGGUGGUCCAAACCAAUGGUUGUAGGGCUGGCGUUCUUAGGACUGGCCACACCAUUGCCUCUUUCAAGGUGGCAGAGACCGACAGGCAUCAAGAGGGUAUGUAGUCAAUCAGAGAAUAAUGCAUUUUAUUUGUGUUCAGUGCAUAAACUGAAAGGGAUCCUACAGAGCAUUGCAAGAAAUGGCAUUAGGCACUUCAGUUGGAGCUGCAACAACUGCGGAGUCAAGGUCUCUCUCCAAAGCCGAGCAAUUUUAUCCUAAAAAUAUGCAGCUAGUUGGUUACAGCAGGUUCUUGAAGACUCCAGGGAUCCCUCCUCCACAGCAACCUCUGAAUACUCGAAAGAGCUUGGCUUGCUGGCUGCUAGAGGAUGCAGCACAGGUUACAAAGUAUGCUUCUUUUGCUGCCUAUAUUUUCACAUGGCACACACAGUUAUGUGCCCUAACCAGUGUUCAGCUGACCCUAGAACAGGCAUUGAGCUUUUUCUUGCAAUUAAUGAAUAUUGAUCACUGGUAUAAUACAGUCUGGCAAACAGCCUUAAUGGAAAAGUUGUUGUACUGAAGAGGGAAAGGGGAGAGAAAAAACAAGGUAAUUUUACACAGUUUUAGUAUGAUUUUAUUAAAUAUACAAAUGGAGCAACACAUGGACGAGAAAUACCUACAGCAUAUAUUGCAAUAUGGCAUAGAUAAGCAGGCACUACUCAUUAGCUCAUUCCUAUUCCUGUGUGUUUUCCAAAUUGAUUUAUUGAAGAGUUCAUUGGACUGGUAUACUGUAAUCACCUCAGUAAUAUGUACUGUAAAAUAAUACGUUUAGUAUUUUACACACCCCAUGACUCACUUUUUGUCAGUCGUGUCAUGUCUUGUUAUUUAUGUGUGUACAAUUUUGUAACAGAAAUAAAUAUAUUAGAACUAUA